UGGGGAAUAUUGCACAAUGGGCGCAAGCCUGAUGCAGCCAUGCCGCGUGUAUGAAGAAGGCCUUCGGGUUGUAAAGUACUUUCAGCGAGGAGGAAGGGCAGGACAUGAAGAAUGUGUUGCCUUGACGUUACUCGCAGAAGAAGCACCGGCUAACUCCGUGCCAGCAGCCGCGGUAAUACGGAGGGUGCAAGCGUUAAUCGGAAUGACUGGGCGUAAAGGGCACGUAGGCGGUAGAUUAAGUCGGAUGUGAAAUCCCCGGGCUCAACCUGGGAAUGGCAUUCGAAACUGGUGUGCUAGAGUUUUGUAGAGGGGGGUAGAAUUCCACGUGUAGCGGUGAAAUGCGUAGAGAUGUGGAGGAAUACCGGUGGCGAAGGCGGCCCCCUGGACAGAGACUGACGCU
rnacentral:rRNA from 1 species